UUGGCAGCAGCGCUGUUGAAGAGUUUGCGAGCAAGAAAUCAGUGUGGAAUGCUUUAUCUCCAAUAGUUUCACAAGUUGCUCUCAGUGUGACUCCAGAGUUUGAGGAGUUUUUCAAGUCCAAUAUGCAGAAGACCACCAUUCUUAUCCCACCCUCCAAUUAGAUCUGAAAAAUUAAUAUUAAUGUUUGUGUAUGAUCGAUCAUCUCCCCUUUCGGUCGAUCAGGCUGUAAUGAAUAAUAUGUUGAGGUGUUGGAUGAUAUUUGAGAAUAUUAAUUAUGACUUCUGAGGAUUGCACUAGAACAGUCUCUCAUUGAAUUACUUUUGAAACUCGUGUAAGAUGUCCAAAUCUCUAUACAAUUAUUGAUGGAUUUUGGUAUUUAUCAAGAUAACAUAAAUUUAAUUUAUAACAUUGAAAAAUAUUGUUUUGAUAUAUUUUUAAUUAAAAAAUAUUUUAUAUCAAAAUAUCAAACAUAUAUGAUUUGAGUAUUAUGUUUGCCUAACCAUUAUAUAAGAAAGUAAUUGGCUUUGAUAUUUAUAUCUUUUUAUUAUUCUAUACUACAUCGAUUGGCAAGACCAUAAAUUACUAGUAUUUUCAUGGAUAGAUAUCAAGGUAUGUAUGUUUUUAUAUUUAAAAAGUAUUUAUAAAAAAAUUAAAUUUUUUUUUAUUUCAAAUUAAUAUUUUUUUUAGUUGUCAAAUAACCAUAAUUUAAGCUGUUAAGUAAGGUCUCAAGAUAUGAUUUAUAUUAUUUUGUAAUAUCAAGGUAUGUAUGUUUUUAUAUUUAAAAAGUAUUUAUAAAAAAAUUAAAAUUUUUAUUUAUUUCAAAUUAAUAUUUUUUUAAGUUGUCAAAGAACUAUAAUUUAAGCUGUUGAGUAAUGUUUCAAGAUAUGAUUUAUAUUAUUUUGUAAUAUACUCCCUCAAGUGAAAGCCCUCUAAGCUUGAAACUUGUAGAGUUUCAUCUUAAGAUGUGUUUAAUUUUUAUCAAAUAAAUAGAAGUAGUGAGAUUCAAACUUGUGACUACUUGGUCAUUAAAGAUAUGAUAUCAUAUCAAAGAACCAUGUCAAAGAAUAAUCUUAACUCAAUAGCUUAAGCUGUUAGAUAAUGUCUCAAGAUAUAAUUUAUAUUAUUCUCUAACAAUGAUAUUUUCAGAUUAUUUUAAUGUGCUGGUAUUAAAAAUAAUUUUAUAAAAAUUAAAUUAAAAAAUAUUAUGAGUUCCAAUUCUUAAUAAAUCUAAAGUUGGAGGAUGAAAUUAAAAUUAAAAAAAAACAUUAAUUGUAAAAUAAAAAAAAAUCAAAGAAAGAAAGAAAAACCAUUAUAAUGAAUAAUAUUUUAUCUAGUGAUAAAACCCCUUCUUUUUAGUUCUAGUUCUUUAUUAAUCAUUGUUAAAAAUUAAAUUCAAACUAAAUUUAAAAAAAAAUUUGAAUCAUGCUUUUAAUUGUACCGUAAAUGGAGUGGUUAGAUGCAUGCAAAGUAGUCCUAAUUUUGUGCAAUCUUUCAAUAAUCACGUACAAUUCCAAUUUGGCUCCAUAAAAUUCUUCCCAUAUUGCUGAAGUUUUCAUCACUUUGUUAAUGUUUCCUCGAGGAAUAAACCUGCCUUCAACUUCAAUUGGCAGAUGAUAUGAGAUAUCCCAACGCCACAUGCAUUAUUGAAUAGGCACUUAUAGAUAUCAAAAAAUAAUAUAAAUUAUAUUCUAAAAUUUUAUUUAAUAAUUUAAAUUAUUAAAUUGAAAUAAUUAUUUGAUAUGAUAUCAAAGUAUUAAUAAUCUAGUGGUCACGAGUUCGAAUCUUAUUAUUUUUAUUUAUUUGAUAAAAAAUAAAUACAAGAUAAUGUGAGCAUGUGUAAAUUUCAAACCUAAAAGACUUUUACUUAAAAAAAACAUAUUAAAAAAAUAAUAUAAAUUAUAUUUUAAAAUAUCAUUUAUAAACUUAAAUUUUUAAAUUAAAAUAUAAUCUUUUAAUAUACUAUUCUAAUGUUAUGCCGUACCAAAACUUUCCAAUAUACUAUUCUAAUGUUAUGCCGUACCAAAACUUUCCUCUGUCUUGAUUACAAAUUUGACUGCAGCAUUGUUAAUUUUGUUGCCGUAGUCUUUUUGGUAACCAAUACUAUACAUAUGAUACAAGUGUCAAGACUCUGGCCAGAGGAAUUCGGUGUCCUUUCGCUAGAAUUAAAGUUGUCAAUUUUAUUUUGAUAGGUAUUUUAUUUUUUUAUUGGAAUGAAAUGUUUUAGUUUUAAAAUAUUUCAACAUGUCGUUUUGAAGUUGUACUUUUAUAUAUAUAUAUAUAUAUAUAUAUAUAUAUAUUCAACAAACAUAAUUUAAAUUCAAGAUAAAUUAAUUAUAAAUUAUACAAUAUAAACACAAUGCCAAACAAAUGUAUAUAAUUUUAAAAUUUAAAAUAUUUAUAAAUAGUUAAGAUUAAAUAGAUCUUUAACUUAAAGUAAUUCAACUUAAACAAAAUAUCAAAAUAUUAUGAAAGUAAAAUGUUUUAACAAAAAUAUUUUAAAUAUAAAAUUAGGUCAAUGUUAUCAAGUGACUAAUAGAAUCUAAAGUAUCCUUUGUUUUGCUCAAAUUCCUACAAAGUAUAAAUAUGAAAAAAAAAACAACAUGAAUAUAAACCAUAUAUGUUAGUGAUAAAUCUAAUUUUAAAAAAUUAAUAUCAUUGUUAAUGAAAAUAGUAAUAAUAAUUUUUAAUAUUAUUAUUAAUAUCAUUGUUAUUGAAAAUAGUAAUGAAAAGAUCUUUUUAUAAUCUAGUGGUUUAAUUAAUGAAAUUGAGUAAGGUUCAAUUUGAUUUAAUAGUUUUUUAAGAGCGGAACGGAACAUGUGGAAUGAAACCAGAAUGUUUCGGGCGAAAUUUAGCCGAAAAAUCCGGAACGGACCGAGAUUUAAAACGAGAUGAAAUUUAUUCCGUUUUGUUUUGUUUUUUGAAUUGUUAUGUAAUAUUUUGGUUAUUCUAAAUAAAAUAAAAUAAAAUAAAGGAAACAAAACCCGAAAAAAAAAAUGUGCUAGUCAAGCUUUAAGAAAUAUUGAAUCAAAUUUUGUAAUAUAAGGACAUGUUAUAUUUUAACGGAGGACAACAAACUAUCCAUGGGUUCAUCCAAGGUUGUUAAAAUCGCGUUUUGACUCGUAAAAUCGUAUGAUUUUACGAGUCAAAACAUGCAUUACGAGUUGAAUUGCUUGAAAAAAUCGAAAAUGGAUAAAAUCGGGUUGAAAUCGAGUGAAAUCACAAAAAUCGGAUGAAAUCGUGCAAAAUCGCGAUUUCAGGACCGAUUUUGUGAUUUGACAAAAUAAGGCCCUGAAACAAAAUCCCCCCUCCUGGACAGCUGUCAGAUACCUAUUUGAUUAUUCCUGCACAGUCACGGACUCACGUGACCGUCUUCACUACCAGCAUUACUCAUACACAGCGUUUCAUGUCUUCCUUAGCUCUCGUGUCUAGCGUGAAUAGGAAGGUCCCCGUGUUGGUCAAGCAGGAAUGUCUAGAACUAGUUGCUACGUGUAAUAAAAAAAACUUUGGCAGAAUAUGAACAAAAUGAAGAAUUACAAAGAUGGAAUCUCUCUCUCUCCUUCCUUCUUCUUAUCUCUUUCACCAUUCAUGCUGCAACCCUCCUGUUGAUUUCUGGAAAUGGUUCAGAACCAUUCCAUCGCAUUCAAUUCCCCUGGAUAUAUUGCUUGUUGGUGUUGUUCCCAAUAUUGUUAAAAUAGCGAUUUUAACACGGCACAAAAAACCUUUUACAAACUCGGAUCGUAAAAACGAAUCGUAAAAUCGCGAUUUUAAUAGGACACAAUUAAAAAUCAAUUAUUUCUGAUUAGGGUCUCAAUUGUUAAGUUUAAACUGUCUAGGGAUUAAAGUGAAAAACAACCAUGCCCAAGGACACAACGACGCCAGCAUUGUUUUAUGGCUUGCACUUUGCAAUACAAUGCAAAAGCUUUGACUCUUCCUUUUUUUUUUUUUAAUCCUCUCCAGUCUCCACCGUCUCUGCUUCCACUUCUUAUUUAUUUUUCCAGAAUACUAUCGGACAAAUUCUAGCUGUCUUUAUUUAAACGCUACCCGCAUCUCUAUUUUUCCUGUCUCGCUAACUCUUUUUUCUCCUUUGCCUCGAACCCGAAAGUUUUUGGUGCAAGUCUGAUGGGAACAACCAUUGUUGUUAAAACCAGCAAAACGUGUAGAAACGGAAACAAAACUCGAAAAUGAUCAAACUCGCAUAAAACUGGGUCAAACUCGCAUAAAACCGGGUUAACUCGUAAAAAACGUUCAAAACGUUACGAUUUCACGAGUUCACUGAAAUGUCACGCCGGGCGAAUGGAAAAUUAGAAAUGAAACAAAUUUGAUGACUCCGUCUCACUUUCUCUAUCUUGAAGAACAACAGAACCAGUAUCAACAGCUGCAAAAGAGAACUCGGGAUCUAACAAGCUCUUAGUCCUCUUGGAUCUUCUUCUUGUAGGAUUCUUUGAUGACUCCGUCUCACUUUCUCUAUCUUGAAGAACAACAGAACCAGUAUCAACAGCUGCAAAAGAGAACUCGAGAUCUACCAAGCGAGUACAUCUUUUUGGGUUUUCUCUUAGCCCAUAAAAAACAGCCUUCUCUUCUUCUUCUUGUCCUUCUUCCGCUUCUUCCUCCGAAGAUGAAGUUGAUUCAGUAUCUUCACUAACUUCAAUAUGGAACUUUCAAUGAGGUGGAAAAGGAGAGGAUUCGCAGAGAUCUAGCGGGGAAUCUUCUUUUGGUUCUUCGAAGACAAGCAAGAUAAGAGACAACUGGGAUGAAUUGAUUGAAUGUCUUUUUGACAGAGAUGUAUCUGGUCACAUGGCUCUCAAGAAAUCACAAAGGGAUGGGUGAUUGAUCAUGGAGAGGGAGGGGAUAUGUUUGCUGCAAAAGACAUCAAAUUGAAAUUAUAUGUCCAUUGAUUCUUGAGUUGGCAAGGAAAUCCAUAUCAUAAUCUAUGCUUUUGUUUCUCUUGGGUGUAUUUGCGGGUGGAUUUCCAUCUUGUAGGUUCUUUUGCUAGGCUGGAUUUAUUGCAAAAACAAAGAGGUUAAAGAGGGUUAUGGUAUUUCUUACCUUGUUCUCUGUUUCACUCGAGUUCCUAAGAACUUAGGUGUUUUACUAGUCAAAUUCUCCAUUCUAUAUUGCUCGGUCUUUGUAGUGCAUUAUAUUUCUUCAAUCCAAGAGCCAACAAAAUCAUUAGUUUAAGUUUAAGAACUAUGGCUGCCAGCUCAUAUAAACUUUGAUUAAGAUUCUUGGAGUGGAUUGGUGUUUCCUCAUGUGGUAUUUUAAGAUGUUAGAUGUUUAUUUUAUGAUUUUUAAUUAAAAAAAUUUAUUUUUGAUUUUAUGAUUUGAGUUUACGAGUCGAGUUUAUAUUGAAUGUUCCGUGUCGUGUUAAAAAAACGUUUUUAACAACCUUGGAAGGAAGUACUAUUUUUAAAUUUUAUUUAUUUUUAUAAUGUAAGAAUAGUAAAAUUGUAAUUCUUGGUGUUUUUUUUUUAAUCAAGAAAACAAGUUUUUCUUGUACUUGGAAAAUGGCACAUGACCAAGGGUAUAUUUUUUUUCAAUCUGAACAGAGUCGGUAUUUUAAAGUUGAGAUUAAAAUUGUUUUUUAAAGUAUUUUUUAUUAUAAAAUAUAUUAAAACAACAUAUUUUUUUAUUUUAUAAUAAUUAUUUUUAAUAAUAAAGUAUAAAAUAUUAAUUUAACGUAAAAAAUAUAUAAAAAAAUUAAAAAAAAAUUUAAAAUAUAAAAACAAACCGGUUUAACGGUCACAAAAGUUCUCCUGUCCUUUUUUUGUUUUGUUUGAUAUGUAGUCCUUGUUCUUUCAGUUAAUAAUACUAAUUACUUUAUUUAUUUAUUUAUUUUUUGAUAUGUAGUACUUGUUCAAGAAAGUUACACAACACAACUGGCAUCCAUGGAUUUCGACUUAUCUCCAAGGUCAGCCCAACAGUUAUUUGAUGGAGAAGCUGGAUCUUACCACACCUGGUCAAGUUCUGAGUUUCCGUUGCUAGCAGAGGAAAAGGUUGGUGCCGGAAGACUUGUCCUUCAGCCUCGUGGUUUUGCUCUUCCCCAUUAUUCCGAUUCCUCUAAAAUUGGCUAUGUUCUGCAAGGUAUAUAUAUGUACCAAUUCAUUAAUUCUCUCCUCCUCCUUCUUCUUACAAAUCAUUAGAUAUUUUUUCUUUUAUUUAUUAUGGUUUGUGAUGGUUACAUUAAGUGGGUCCGGUACAAGUUUUUCUUGACAUGUAUAAUCUUGGUCUCCUGCAGGUAGUGACGGAAUAGUGGGAAUGGUGCUCCCAAACUCGUCAGAAGAGGUGGUGUUAAGAGUCAAGAAAGGAGACGUGAUACCAGUGCCUCUUGGAGCGCUGUCUUGGUGGUACAACAAUGGAGAUCACUCAGAAGAAGUCGUUGUAGUUUUCUUAGGGGAAACUUCCAAGGCACACAUUCCUGGCGAAAUCACCUACUUAUUCUUAAGUGGAGGCCAAGGUAUCAUGGGAGGGUUCUCGACAGAAUUCAUUAGCAGAGCUUAUAAGAUGAACGAAGAGGAAGCGGACAAGCUUGCUAAAAGCCAGACAGGGAUUUUGCUCAUUAAGCUAGAGCCUGGAAUAAGCAUGCCCCACCCUAACAUGGAAAUUGUUGAAAAAAUGGUGUACAACAUUGAUGCCGCUUUGCCUGACGUUGAUGUCAGAGGCGGUGGUGUGUUCAAGGCAUUGACAGCAGCUAGAUUUCCUUUUCUUGAAGAAGCAGGCUUAAGCGUUAACCGUGUGAAAUUGGAAGCUAAUGCCAUGUACUCGCCAUCAUACACCGCCGACGGCACAUUUCAAGUUUUUUACGUUGCUAGAGGCACCGGCCGCGUCCAGGUUGUGGGGAUUGGUGGUAAGCGUGUCCUGGACACCAAAAUACACGCUGGUCAACUACUUGUUCUGCCAAGAUUCUUCGCGGUUGCUCAGAUUGCUGACGGUGAAGGAAUGGAGUUUGUUUCCAUUCUCCCUGGUACAAGGUAAUUGCAAUUUCUAUUAGAAAAUUAAAUUAAUAUAUUGGUUUUAAAAACCUCAUAUUGAAUUAAAUCAUGUUUAUAAUUCAAUCCCAGUAAGAUUCUUGAAGAGUUUGAAUUGCUGUUAAUUUUAAUUUUAAUUUUUUGCUCUUGGCAGCCCCGCUAUUGAAGAGUUUGCGAGCAAGAAAUCAGUGUGGAAUGCUUUAUCUCCAAUAGUUUCACAAGUUGCUCUAAGUGUGACUCCAGAGUUUGAGGAAUUUUUCAUGUCCAAAAUGCAGAAGACCACUAUUCUUAUCCCACCCACCAAAUAAAUCUGAAAAAUUAAUAUUAAUGUUUCUGUAUGAUCGAUCAUCUCCCCUUUCGGUCGAUCAAGU
rnacentral:lncRNA from 1 species